GACGUAGGGCGCGAGCGUUGUCCGGAUUUAUUGGGCGUAAAGAGCUCGUAGGCGGUGUGUCGCGUCGGCCGUGAAAACCUGGGGCUUAACUCUGGGCGUGCGGUCGAUACGGGCAUCACUGGAGUUCGGCAGGGGAGACUGGAAUUCCUGGUGUAGCGGUGAAAUGCGCAGAUAUCAGGAGGAACACCGGUGGCGAAGGCGGGUCUCUGGGCCGAUACUGACGCUGAGGGGCGAAAGCAUGGGUAGCGAACCGG
rnacentral:rRNA from 1 species